rnacentral:ncRNA from 1 species
UUAACGGAGAGUUUGAUCCUGGCUCAGGACGAACGCUGGCGGCGUGCUUAACACAUGCAAGUCGAACGAUGAGGGCCCGGGCUUGCCCGGGUCUGAUUAGUGGCGAACGGGUGAGUAACACGUGAGUAACCUGCCCCCGACUUCGGGAUAACCGCGAGAAAUCGUGGCUAAUACCGGAUAUGACGCCCCCUGCCGCAUGGUGGGGGUGUGGAAAGACUGUGUCGGUCGGGGAUGGGCUCGCGGCCUAUCAGCUUGUUGGUGGGGGUGAUGGCCUACCAAGGCGACGACGGGUAGCCGGCCUGAGAGGGUGACCGGCCACACUGGGACUGAGACACGGCCCAGACUCCUACGGGAGGCAGCAGUGGGGAAUAUUGCACAAUGGGCGCAAGCCUGAUGCAAGCGACGCCGCGUGAGGGAUGACGGCCUUCGGGUUGUAAACCUCUUUCAGUAGGGAAGAAGCCUCUCGGGGUGGACGGUACCUGCAGAAGGAAGCGCCGGCUAACUACGUGCCAGCAGCCGCGGUAAUACGUAGGGCGCAAGCGU